rnacentral:rRNA from 1 species
UACGUAGGGUCCAAGCGUUAUCCGGAAUCACUGGGCGUAAAGCGUACGUAGGCGGUUCGUUAAGUGAGAUGCGAAAUCUUGUGGCUCAACCAUAUAGAUGUUGUCCCAUACUGGCGAACUUGAGGAUGGCAGAGGCAAGUGGAAUUACUAGUGUAGCAGUGAAAUGCGUAGAUAUUAGUAGGAACACCAAUGGCGAAGGCAGCUUGCUGGGCCAUUUUCUGACGCUGAGGUACGAAAGCGUGGGGAGCGAACAGG